GAUGAACGCUAGCGACAGGCCUAACACAUGCAAGUCGAGGGGCAGCACAUGCGUAGCAAUACAAUGGUGGCGACCGGCGCACGGGUGAGUAACACGUUUGCAACCUACCUGUAAGAGGGGAAUAACCCGGAGAAAUUCGGACUAACACCGCAUAAUACCUCGAAGCUGCAUGGCUUUGAGGUUAAAUAUUUAUAGCUUACAGAUGGGCAUGCGUAACAUUAGAUAGUUGGUGAGGUAACGGCUCACCAAGUCAACGAUGUUUAGGGGUUCUGAGAGGAAGGUCCCCCACACUGGUACUGAGACACGGACCAGACUCCUACGGGAGGCAGCAGUGAGGAAUAUUGGUCAAUGGGCGAGAGCCUGAACCAGCCAAGUCGCGUGAAGGAAGAAGGUUCUAUGGAUUGUAAACUUCUUUUGUAAGGGAAUAAAAAAGCUUACGUGUAGGCUAUUGUAUGUACUUUACGAAUAAGGAUCGGCUAACUCCGUGCCAGCCGCCGCAGUAAAAC
rnacentral:rRNA from 1 species